UCGCCGGCCAUCGUGCUCACAGGCACGGGAAAGAAGGGAGAGAAGAGAGGGAGAGGAGGGAGACCUUACCACAACCUCCGGUGACCCCCACCGGCGAGAAAUCGCGGCGAACACGGGUCGAGGAGUCGCGGCUUCAAACGAAAAAAUCGGAGAAAAAUCUCCGGCAAUCGGCGGCGACUGAAGGGUCUACCCAUAGAGGAGAGAGGG
rnacentral:lncRNA from 1 species